UACAGAGGUCCCAAGCGUUGUUCGGAUUCAUUGGGCGUAAAGGGUGCGUAGGCGGUUUCGUAAGUUUGGUGUGAAAUCUCCCGGCUUAACUGGGAGGGUGCGCCGAAAACUGCGGGGCUGGAGUAUGGGAGAGGUAAGCGGAAUUCCACGUGUAGCAGUGAAAUGCGUAGAGAUGUGGAGGAACACCGAUGGCGAAGGCAGCCUCCUGGGCCAGCACUGACGCUCAUGCACGAAAGCGUGGGGAGCAACAGG
rnacentral:rRNA from 1 species